AGAAGUCAAGGAGUUGAGGUAGGGAAUGCUUCCACAAAAACGUUUUCACGGUUAUCCGGAACUUCUGCUUGUCCACACUUUCCCUUAAAAGUUUCCCAAACUGCCCAGCCUAGGCAUAGCUAUCUGCCAGUGGCUGCUUUAAUGAGGAAGACCUGAAAGGAAGAGGAGCGAGAUGAGGUGGAGUUGGGGGUCCCAGACAAGGAUUCCUGCUUCCUGGCCAGCAACAAUAAAGGAAAACUUUUUGACCUCAUCACCACCCUCUUCUUGAGGUUGGAGCACAGCUGUGUGUGUUUGUUGUAUUAGAGGUUUUUGGUGUGGUGACCUUUUUGCAGACAAUAGAGUUGUAGCCUCUCUUACUUCUGGUGUCUGCCUGCCUGUGGCCGAAGUUGAUUUCAGGGGCUUGCUGUAGGCUUCCUGAUGGGAGUGACUGGGGCCUGCCCACUGGUAGGUGGAGCUGAUUCCUAUCCCUCUGGUGGGUGGGCUUUGUCUCUGGUUGAGUUUAGAGGUUGCUGUGUGCCUGGGGGGGGGGGGUCUUUCGGCAGCCUGUUUACUGAUGGGUGGGGCUGUGAUCCCACCUGGAUUGUUGUUUGGCCUGGGGCUUCUCAACAUGGAUGGGUGGGGUCAGAUUUUCCCAAAAUGGCCACCUCCAGAGAAAGGCACACUGAUGAAUAUUCCCAGGAGAUUUGUCUCCAGUGUCCUUCCCUCACAACAAGCCACAUUCAUUCUGUUUUCCCAGAAGAUCAAUGAAGAACUGCAGUCAGGUCUAACCCAGAUUCCUAUGGAGCCUUUGCUUUGACCUGGGACCCAGUGCAAAUGAAAGUGUGCGCUUUUUAAGAACGGGGUCUCCAUUUCCCCCAGCCCUGUGGCGCUCCUGUGCACAAGCCCCACUAGCCUUUAAUGCCAGAUGCUCCUGGGGCUCUUUCUCCCAGUGCCAGAUCCCCAGGCGUGGGGAUUUGACAUGGGGCUCAGAACUCUCACUCCUGUAGGUGAGUCUCUGUGAUGCAAUUACUUUCCAGUCUGUGGGGCUUCCCACCCAGUAGGUAUAGAGUUGCUUAUGUGGAGUAUUCGCCCCUCCUACCUCUUGAUGUGACCUCCUCUUUGUCUUCUGGAGUAGGAUAUCUUUUUGAAAGUUUCCAGUCCAUUUGGUUGAAGGUUGCUCAGCAUUUCGUUGUAAUUUUUUUUUGUUUUUAUGAGAGAAGUUGAGCUCCAGUCCUUCUAUUCCACCAUCUUAAUCCCUUGUUUCUGUUUUAUAAGUGAAUUCACUUGUACCAUUUUUAGAUUCCACAUAUAAGUGAUAUCUUAUGAUAUUUGCCUUUGACUUACUUUGCUUAGUAUGAUCAUCUCUACAUCCACCUAUUUGCUGCAAAUGUCAUUAUUUCAAUCUUUUUAAUGGCUGAGUAAUAGUCCAUUGUAUAUAUAAACCACAUCUUCCCUAUAUAUAUAUAUAUUUUGGGUUUAUCCUAUAUAUAUGUAUGUAUGUAUGUAUAGUCUUUUUGCCUUUGCUAGGGCCACUCCCAUGCCAUAUGGAGGUUCCCAGGCUAGGGGUCUAAUCCGAGCUGUAGCUGCCGGCCUACACCAGAGCCACAGCAACACGGGAUCCAAGCCACGCCUGCAACCUACACCACAGCUCACGGCAUCACCAGAUCCUUAACCCUGAGCAAGGCCAGGGAUCGAACCCACAACCUCAUGGUUCCUAGCCAGAUUCAUUAACCACUGAGCCACGAUGGUAACUCCAUCCUAUAUAUUUUGGAUUGGAUUUGCCUAGCCAACCCUCAGUUCCUUACAACAUCCCUUGCAAUAACUUUCUCACUUUCUGAACCCUGACAUGCGCUAUAACCCUUCUGCCAGCAAAGUAAGAGACUGCCUGUGGUAAUUUUAUCAUAAUGAGCAGGUUUUUAAAAAUAAAGCUCUUUAUUGUAAAGCAAGUUUUUUUCCUUUUUAGGGUUGCACCCGUAGCAGAUGGAAGUUCCCAGGCUAGGGGUUAUAUCAGAGCUGCAGCUGCCAGCCACACACAGCCACAGCCGUGCCAGAUCUAAGCUGCAUCUGCAACCUACACCACAGCUUGUGGCAAUGCUGGCUCCUUAACCCACUAAGCAAGGCAAGGGAUCGAACUGCAUCCUCACAGAUACUAGCUGGGUUCUCAACCUGCUGAGCCACAAGGAGAACUCUGUAAAACAAAUUUUGAUAGAAGUACAAUUCUAAGGAUUUCUAGCAGGAAUGAUAAGCAUACUGUUUAUAUAAGUGUUUGUGUUUAUGGUGUGGAGAGGGAGGGUGGAGAGAAGAGAUAAUAGAUUAAAAACACAAACCAUGUAGAAACUAAAAGAUUUCCUUUGUCCUUGCCUGACCAGAAAGCACUAUAAUUUACAAUUAUAUUAAGGCAAUAGUCAAAAAAGAAUGAAUUUUUAAAGAUGAAUUUCAAUCAUCAACCAGAAUGGGAAAGAUGAAAGCAUUUACCACCCUUAAGAACAUUCAUAUGUUCAUUCAACAAAUAUAUAUUGAAGAAGAAAUCCUUUAAUGAAAGAGCAUGGAACUUGAUCUCAAGACCUCAGUUAAAAUCUGGACUAUGCCAGUAAAUAGCAAAGUAAAACUCUUAACCACUCAAAUCAGUUUCAAACACAGGAAAUCUCAAAGGGAACUUAUGCUUUAUUAAUAUUUGUUUGUAUUUUUUAAAUCAUAAUGGUGGCCUUUUAUUAGUUCUGUAAAUAAUAACUGUAUGUUUAAUGUAAUUAUUGUAUUUCAAAGUAAAAGUGACAUUGUAUGUUAUAAAU
rnacentral:lncRNA from 1 species